rnacentral:pre_miRNA from 1 species
AUUCUACUCCAUCCGUUGCACAAUACAUGCCUUCUAUUUGUCAAAAUAUAUAUAUGUACCUAGACAUGUUUUAGUAUAUAGGUACAUCCAUUUUUGGACAAAUGGAAGUCAAGUAUUUUGGAAUGGAGGGAGUACACA